rnacentral:rRNA from 1 species
UGGGGAAUAUUGCACAAUGGGCGCAAGCCUGAUGCAGCCAUGCCGCGUGUGUGAAGAAGGCCUUCGGGUUGUAAAGCACUUUCAGCGGGGAGGAAGGCGAUAAGGUUAAUAACCUCAUCGAUUGACGUUACCCGCAGAAGAAGCACCGGCUAACUCCGUGCCAGCAGCCGCGGUAAUACGGAGGGUGCAAGCGUUCAUCGGAAUUACUGGGCGUAAAGCGCACGCAGGCGGUCUGUCCAGUCGGAUGUGAAAUCCCCGGGCUAAACCUGGGAACUGCAUGCUAAACUGGCAGGCUAGAGUCUUGUAGAGGGGGGUAGAAUGCCAGGUGUAACGGUGAAAUGCGUAGAGAUCUGGAAGAAUACCGGUGGCGAAGGCGGCCCCCAGGACAAAGACAGACGCUCAGAUGCGAAAGCGUGGGGAGCAAACAGG